GACGAACGCUGGCGGCGUGGAUUAGGCAUGCAAGUCGAACGGUAUCAUCCUUUCGGGGGUGAGAGAGUGGCGAACUGGUGAGUAACACGUAGGUUAUCUACCCUCAAGACGGGGACAACCCAGGGAAACUUGGGCUAAUACCGGAUGUGAGCAACUUUUAGUUGUUUGAAAGGUGGCGUAAGCUGUCGCUUGGGGAUGAGCCUGCGUCCUAUUAGUUAGUUGGUGAGGUAACGGCUCACCUAGGCAAUGAUAGGUAGGCGGCCUUAACGGGUGGUCGCCCACACUGGGAUUGAGAUACGGCCCAGACUCCUACGGGAGGCAGCAGUCGAGAAUAGUCUACAAUGGUCGGAAGACUGAUAGUGCGACGCCGCGUGAACGAUGAAUCCCUUCGGGGUGUAAAGUUCUUUUAUAUGUGAGCAGUGCUUCUUAUAUUAACAGUAUGGGGAGAGAGGAUAUUAGCAUAUGAAUAAGCAACGGCUAACUCCGUGCCAGCAGCCGCGGU
rnacentral:rRNA from 1 species